GAAGGACUGAGGAAAAAUCAGAGACACAAGUUAAGUAAAUCAGCAGUCGGCUGAUGUUUCAGGAGAUCAUCUGUUGCACACCAGAACAAAACCUUGAUUUUCCAUUUCAUACUUGCCUUUGUCCUGACGUGCAGCUUAUCCAGAGGCAGGAAUGUGUUACGUGCCCAGCCUAUCCCAAGGCAAGGUAAAUGACAUCAACUGCUUCAUCCUCUGAGGAGGCAGAAUCUUCCCUGGAGAUGGUUUUGGAGUCUUAUGUAUUUCUGCUUCAGGAAAACAGCCAGAACAAUGAUCAGUUGGGACUGUCCCUGACCAACAAGAGUGAUGUCCAAAAACCACUGCUGGGAUAGAAGCAGUAGAAGCACCCAACCAUAUGCCUCUACCCAGAGGACAAUUCAGAUCAGGUUGUGCAGAUGGCAGGCUUGUAAAGAGAAGUAAAACAGGUUAUUAUUGCCUUCUGAUACCACAACAAAGGCAAAAAAGGAGCAGGGGAGCAGCGGGGGAUAAAGAAACACAUUAGUUUUAAUGGCUUUUUCUAGAAAAUAAGUUGUUAUUGUUGUCAUAGAAAAAAAUCAGCUGGAUGACAAAAUAUAAUUCUUUAUUAUUAUUAUUUUUUUUAUUUUUUAUUUUUUUAUCUUUUCAAAGCAAAUAAUUUUAAUCAGGAUAACUUGGGUCAGAAUCUCCUUCUCUAGAGACAUUCAAAACCCACCUGUUCAAAAUCCUGUUCACUCUGGCCCCUGCUUUGUCAGGGGGUUUGAAUUAGAUGGAUCUCCACAGGUCUGUUCCAAUCUCAAUUAUCCUGUGAUUCUGUAAAUCCAUCUGAAUUGAAUUAUCUAGCAACUGAGUUCAGUUUCCUUUAUAUAUCAUUAUUGUAAUUAAAGAGCAAAACACAUAAUACAUUUGUGCUAUCAAAAUAUAUCUUGAUUCCAGUCAGGUAUGGGUUAAUUUUUGCAAUAAUCAGGAGGGGGCACAUCUAGGACCCAGAGGUUAUUAUAUACCACCUCACCUCAUUGCUGGGGGCAAGAGGAAAGGAAUCUCUUCUGGAGAGAAGAGGGUCCUGCUGGUUGACUAAAUGUGCUGGAGGGAGUAUUUAUUUGGGU
rnacentral:lncRNA from 1 species